rnacentral:lncRNA from 1 species
GUAUUUCUCACCGAAGGGCAGCCUGCCCGCUCCAUGACUGACAGGAUGGGGUGGCCCCGCCCCCGGGCUGACUGAUGGAUCCGACUCCGUCCCCCAUCCAGCCCAGACUCGGGUCCAGCACAGUGAAUGGGGCCCUGAAGUGCAGUGUGCAGCUCGGGGUCUCAGGCCUCCCGUUCAGAGCCUCUCCACCCACUGGCCGACUGACCUUGGUUUUGCCCCCUGCUAUGGUCAGAGUCCCCCAAACCUCUAAGUUGAAGCUGAAGGCCGAGGUGAUGGUGUCAGGAGGGGCAGCCCUCGGGAGGCCGUCAGGUCACAGGGCAGAGGUCUCACGGAAGAGAUUAGUGCCCUUACAAUGGGCUCGAGGGGAGGGGCAGUGCCCCUUGCUUCUCUUCUGGCAUGUGAGGACACAGUUUGUCCUCUCCGGAGGAGGCAGAGACUGGGCCCUCAGCAGACUGGAGUCAUCUUGGUCUUGUACUUCCUGCCUCCAGAGCUGUGAGGAAACGAAUUUCCCUUCUUUUUAAAGUAACCAGCUUAAGGUAUUUUUUUCCAGCGAUCUAAAGGGACUGAGACAUUGUCUGGACUGGGGUUUCCUGUCUAGAAGAUGGGUCUGUUGUGGAUUCCAUGAGGUCAUAUGGAUCUUCUGCAUUUGGUUCUAGCUAACAGAUGGAUUGCGGUUGCAAGAGUCUUGAACGCCACAGGGAUCAUUACCUAAGAGAUGUUGCUGUGAGGGUAAACAUGAGACCAAGACACUGCCCUGUGCUGAGUGCCGGGGGAAGGGCUUCCCAGAGGAGGCGACACAGAGCUUGUCGCAGGAGAGAGAGAGUGGGCACGGCCAUCAGUGAGUUGGGUGGCCAGUUUCGCUAUGCUGGGGCUGGGCAGGGCAGUGGGCAGAUAGCUGCAGUCCCCAGGGCUCUGGCAGGGCCCCAGGGCUGGCCCUUCUGCAGGGAGCGCUGGCAGGAAGAGGGGGUGGAGGGAAACUCAGGAGGAC